rnacentral:lncRNA from 10 species
GGGAGAGGAGGCAGCACCGGGCACGGAGCACAAAACACGUUGGAUACUCUUCCAAGAUAUCACGGCUCAGGAGAGUCUUCCAACGGUCCUGUAAGGUUCCUCAACAGCAGCAUCAGUGCCAUAAAGUCUCCCUUCCACUGAGUCCUGCUAACAGCAGAGGAGUGAAAAAAACUCAUGGGACAAACUGCUGUCCCCACACGUCACUGUGUCUGUCUGCAAAUGUAGGAAGGAUGGGGACCUGUCCCAGGGAAGACAGAGUCAUUCCGCAGUGAUAAAGCAGCAUGUUUCUGACACAGGGGUGUCUGUGCCUAUCCUCAUUCCUCCCUCAUCACCAUCACCGGAGCAUGCUCCUUGCAUCAGAUAAACAGAAAGAGAGGAAUGGAAAGCCCAUUGCUCACACAUGAGUCACAGCUAUUCUUAAGAGAAUGUUCUCCAGGCCUUUCAUGUCCUAUCACUGAUUCUCAGAACUCUGCAAGGUCAGUGUGACCACCCUGCUCCAAACCUAAGAAAAUGGAGGCUCCCAAAGGAAGGAGAAAAUUCACCCAGCGUCACACAGCUUGCAAGAGGCAGAGAGGAAGCCGAUUCCAGCUCUGCCUGCAGGACCCUCUCAUCCCCCCUCCGCUUCCCUUCUUGACAAAGGGUCUUCUCCACUCUGGAGGUGCCACCUGUGGGCACAAAGGUCUCUGGGGAGAUGUGGAUUCCUGAAGACCUGCAGGGGAAUUGGGAGAGGGUUUUCUCACAGGAUGAUCCUAUGUAGAGAGGUGAGUUUGGCACAGCUAUCAU